UUGUGGAGGAGGACGCCGAAGGUGGGGCUAAUGACUGGGGUGAAGUCGUAACAAGGUAGCCGUACCGGAAGGUGCGGCUGGAUCACCUCCUAACAGGGAGACAACAAAAUGUUAAAUAUUAAUUUUGUCACCUUAGGUCGAUCGGUACCUCACAUUCUUAAUUUAUUAAGGAUUUCAUUUCCUAAGUUUUUUCUAGGUCACACCCAUACUUUUCCUGGGCCAUUAGCUCAGGUGGUUAGAGCGCACCCCUGAUAAGGGUGAGGUCCCUGGUUCAAGUCCAGGAUGGCCCAUAUCUCUAUGUUGGGGGUAUAGCUCAGUUGGUAGAGCGCCUGCUUUGCAAGCAGGAUGUCAGCGGUUCGAGUCCGCUUACCUCCACUGAUCACCACCUCUUCCAUAAUUUAUAGAAGGGAAAUGUUUUGAGUUGUGAUCAAAUUCUGAACGAAUCUAGCUCCCUAAUCAAUUUUAUUAAGACGCUGGACUCAUUGAAUUAUUUUCAUUGUUUUCAGAGAACCUUGACAACUGCAUAGAUUAUUUUUAAAGACAAUAAGCAUCUUUAAUGAUGCAGAUUUAUUAUUUGUGCUAAUGCAUUAAUAACAAUUCUAUUAAGCUGAUGCUUCAAUUUUGAAGUUAUUGGUCAAGCUACAA
rnacentral:misc_RNA from 1 species